rnacentral:rRNA from 1 species
UACGUAGGGACCGAGCGUUGUCCGGAAUCAUUGGGCGUAAAGAGCGUGUAGGCGGCCACUUAAGUCCUGCGUGAAAUCUUGCGGCUCAACCGCAAGCGGUCGUGGGAAACUGGGUGGCUAGAGUGCGGGAGAGGAGAGUGGAAUUCCUGGUGUAGCGGUGGAAUGCGCAGAUAUCAGGAGGAACACCGAUAGCGAAGGCAGCUCGCUGGGACGUUACUGACACUAAGGCGCGAAAGCGUGGGGAGCGAACAGG